rnacentral:misc_RNA from 1 species
CACCAACACGACAUCCUCUCCCCUCGUCCGCUCCGCUCUAGCCUGCUGCCAUCCUGUCCUCUCGUCUCGUCUCCUCGCGGCGCUCCUCCCCUGCUCGCCACCUCCCGCCCUUUUUAAACCACCACCACUACCAAAUUCACUUGCCUCCCCAACACCGCUUGGCCGCUUGGCGCUUGCUGCUGCGGCCCGUCGGUCUAGGCGUCUAGCUAAGCUACCUCGUUAUUUAGGCGACGCUUGCAUAGCCCAGGGCUUUGACACGACGCGACGCCGAUUAAGCGACACGAGGCCAGGUCCCGGUCCCGGUAGCUCGAACGAGGAGCUAAGCAGAGGCGCCGUUCUGCUGGUUGGCUUCUGUGAUGGGGUCGUCCACGGACCACGGUGGCGCCGGUUGGCGGGGCAAGAAGCAGGGGUCGCAGCUGUGGAAGAAGGCGCUGCUGCAUUCCUCCCUCUGCUUCGUCAUGGGCUUCUUCACCGGCUUCGCGCCGUCGUCCGUGUCCGACUGGACGUCCGCGGCGGCGGCGGCGGGCAGCAGCAGCAGCAGCAGCCACGUGGUACGGGCGCUGCCGGCGGGCGGGGCCUUGAACCGGAGCCUGCUGGCGCACGGCGCGGGGCCUGGCUACGACCGGGCAGCGUCUCCGCGCCCGCUCCUGGUGGUCGUCACGACGACGGAGUCGACGCCCGUGGCGUCCGGCGAGCGGGCCGCCGCGCUGACGCGGACGGCGCACGCGCUGCGGCUGGUGGCGCCGCCGCUGCUGUGGGUGGUCGUGGAGGCCGCCCCGGACGCGCCGGCCACGGCGCGGCAGCUGCGCGCCACGGGGCUCAUGUACCGCCACCUGACGUACAGGGACAACUUCACCGCCGCGGGCGCGGGCAAGGAGCGCCACCACCAGCGCAACGUGGCGCUCGGGCACGUCGAGCACCACCGCCUCGCCGGCGUCGUCCUCUUCGCGGGCCUCGACGACGUGCUGGACCUCCGCCUCUUCGACCAGAUCAGGGAGAUCAGCGCGUUCGGUGCGUGGCCGGUGGCGACGAUGUGGCGGGACGAGAGGGAGGUCGUCGUGCGGGGCCCCGCGUGCAGCUCGUCCGCGGUCACCGGCUGGUUCUCCCAGGACCUGAGCGACGGCACCGCGGCUGCUGCCUCUACCACCUCCACCGCGAGGGCGAGGCCUUCUGGCGAGGUGGACGUCCACGGCUUCGCCUUCAACAGCUCCGUGCUCUGGGACCCCGAGCGCUGGGGCCGCUACCCGACCUCCGAGCCCGACAAGUCCCAGGACUCCACGAAGUUCGUCCAGCAAGUGGUUCUGGAAGAUCUUAGCAAGGUGAAGGGCAUUCCUUCCGAUUGUUCAGAGGUCAUGGUAUGGCACGUCGAUACGGCCGCGCCUUCUCCCUCGUCUCCGCAGAACAAGAGGAGAUAGAGAGCUGAACACCAUAGAAGAGAACGGACGAGCCUGGAGGACGGCCGGAGUGGUGUACACUGUACAUGCAUGGCUACACCACUGAGAUGCUGAUUGUCCUCCUAGCUAGUUGCAAAGAAGGAAAAUUUUUGGUUUUCUCACCGGAGGAUGGAUCCACCUCUGACCCCCCCCCCCCCCCCCCCCCCUCCAUCAUAAUGUGCGAUUUUCUGCUAUUCUUUUUUUUCCUUAAAAAUGUGAUAUAUGUAUAUUUUCCCUUUUCUUUUUACUCAAGUGGGUUUAGGUGAAUACAAACAUAAUAACCCCUUGAAGUGUUUCUCAAGGAUGUAAUGGAUAGAUGGCAAGCUAAAAAAGAUCAACUUAACAAUGAUGAUACGCAUCAUGUUGUCUUUUAU